CCCAAGCCAACAACCUUGAGACGACGAUCAUGAUAAGGGCCUUAACACUUCUCCGAUUAGUUUAGAAAAUCAGUAAAUUUUUCUAGUUUAAAUAAUUGUACAAACAAUACUACCUAGUAUUUCUUUUGGUCGGUACGAUAACUUUAUUAUUAUUAGUAAUAUAAAUAUUUCGGUUAAUUUAUUUUGGUUUUACAGUAAUUAAUUAUUUACUUACAGUAAUAUAUUUUUGAGUUAUUAUAUCUCUUAAUAAUAAAAAUAAUAUUUUUUUUUUCAAAAAAACUAAAACCUAAGCGACGAAAAUUUUGUCUCUUAAGAUGCUUAUUUUUGUUGCUUAAGGGUAAAAAUUAUAUGCCAAAAGUUGACAAGCCAAAAAAGUGUUCUGUCGCACAAGGCUAUAUCGACAGAAACUUUCGUCGCAUAAAAUCUAGCGACGAAAACAAGCUCGUCGCUUAACAGUAAAACGAUAGGAGAACAUACGUCGCUGAACAACUUAAGCGACUAACAAUUUUUGUCGCUUAAGUUAAUUAUUCGUCGCAUUAAAUCUAGCGACAAAAACAGGCUUGUCGCUAAACUAAAAAGUUUUGUCGCUUAACAGACUUCCAGACUUCCACAAAUAAUUUAUGACUUUAUGGAUCGUCGCUUAAGCGAACUCCGGCUCACUUGAGAUCACCACUGGAUUUAUCAUUGAUCCUUGUCUUGUCUACGACACAACAAUCAAAUUAUCAUUUACCUCGAAAACUCGACAAACUAACCAAAAUUCCUAACCUUCAAAUUAUAGUGUCUGCACUUCACGGUUUCAAUACCAGAGGAAAUUACCCAAAAUGGCAGCAUGAACAAUUUAUAUAUCACAAGACACGUCACCACAAAACUCCGAUCCGAUUUAACGAAUUAGAAAUGACACGACCCACCCCGAAUUUCACCCUGAAACCCGGAGUAAGUCGUGCGGGGACCACCUCCAAGGAAAAUUUACUGAAAAGAUUAAGAAAAUCUCCCUUGCAGAUGGACAACCCUAACUCGAAAAUUCCAAGUUACUCUCUUAAUUCAACACGUCCAAACAUCACAUAAUUAUCCUCCAGAAAUUCUACACAUAAUAUACAAUAAUCCCAAAGUAUUCAGAGCUACUAAACACAAGCGGAAGCAAGAAAACACGAGUAGGUUAAACAUGUAACCUACUGAUGAAAACUGGCGGAAAUGCGGGUGACUAUGCCUCGUCUCCUACUAGAUCCAACCCGAACUCUGCAGACUGGGCAAUUUAAAACGAAAGGCCCAGGGGAAAACAUUUAACAACGUUAGAGUAAGUGGACAAAAAUUAAAAUAAUAAAUAAAAUAUUUAUGUUUCCCCAAAUUAAUUUCUAAGGAAAAAUUGAAUGGAUGCCGCAAGCGAUAAAACUUUUAUCCCAUACAUGCCGCAACGGCGGCCGGAGGCCAAUUCCGGCGACCUCCAAAACCUAUGAAAUUUUGACAGAAUAAUCCUCUCAUCAAGCUCUACAACUUUCAUAACUAGUACAAACACCAAUUCCAAGCCUAACUAGGGCAAUCGACUAAAAACAUCAAAAACGCCAUAAAACUUCCACCUCAAAUUUCUCCUUACCUAGCUCAAGAGGGAGUGAGUCCUUUUAGGGCAAGGCUGCUGGGUUGGAGGGCUACAAAACCAUACCAAGCUUGCCUGGAUUGGUGGCCGGAAGAGGGAGUUCCGGCGACGUGAACCCUAACACAGUCGGACCUCUCGGGCUCGAUAUCACCCUCACGGCGGCGCUAGGGAAGCUGUCAUCGGUCCAAGAAGGUUGCUGGGUUGAAGACCGAUCGAUUUGGACCGGUACGGCGGUCUGGGGUGGCCGGACGGCGGCGGUCUGGCGGUCGGAAAACCGGACAGCGGGAGGGGCUCGGGAGAGAGAGAACCGNNNNNNNNNNNNNNNNNNNNCUCUUAAUUCAACACGUCCAAACAUCACAUAAUUAUCCUCCAGAAAUUCUACACAUAAUAUACAAUAAUCCCAAAGUAUUCAGAGCUACUAAACACAAGCGGAAGCAAGAAAACACGAGUAGGUUAAACAUGUAACCUACUGAUGAAAACUGGCGGAAAUGCGGGUGACUAUGCCUCGUCUCCUACUAGAUCCAACCCGAACUCUGCAGACUGGGCAAUUUAAAACGAAAGGCCCAGGGGAAAACAUUUAACAACGUUAGAGUGAGUGGACAAAAAUUAAAAUAAUAAAUAAAAUAUUUAUGUUUCCCCAAAUUAAUUUCUAAGGAAAAAUCGAAUGCAUGCCGCAAGCGAUAAAACUUUUAUCCCAUAAAAUAUCGAACCUCUCAGACUCUAUAAUAUAUGUAUGUAUUUACACUCGUCCAUACUCCCUAUAUAAAAUUCAUGGGUCUAUAUAGGGCUACUACGCUUGCGUCCAAUGCUCACGUCACGUCUUAAUGCGGUACUACACUACGCCAUCAAGGUGGACAGACGGGUGUAUAAAUAUGUGUCCAUAGCCCAUAUAUGAAUUAAACACUCAAAUAGGGCUACUACGCUUACGCCCAACGCUCACGUCACACCAUAAUGCGGCUAUAUGCUACGGCAUUAAGGUGGACAGACACAUAUGGCUAGCUAGCAUUUAUAUACAUACUCUCUCAUAAAUAUAUAUUUAUAUCCACCGAAAAUCCUAUUUUCGGUAACUCUCCAAGAGAAAUAAAAUCGUCAAAAUAAAAUGACGUCAAAAUGCUCCACAACAUUAAUUGUUCAUCUAUGAACUAUAGCAUGCAUUUUAUUUAAAACAAAAGUCCACUCACAAAUUUGGCCUAAGCCUGAUGUCGAUCUGGGGCCUCGUCUGCUCGAGCCUCCUCACGUCCUGUUCCAAAUAUAAUAUUAAUUUCCCAACCAAAAAUCCAGAACGUACUCAAAAAUAGGCAAAAUAAUUAUAAGCCGUAACCACGCUCAUUCUCGCCUAACUUCGAUAUUCUUAAAUCGGAACGAUCCGAACUUAAAUAUCAUACUCAACAGUCGUAAAUACAACCUCUCCAAAAUACGACUUAAAUCCUACGGCCGGAUUCUACAUUAAUUAACCGCCAAAAAUACCAAACUUCGGAAAUUCACAAACCUAUCCAAAUCUCAUCCAAAAAUUCCAUAAAUCACAUCAAUAUACUCCUCUUAAUAUUCCACACUUAAAACCCUAAAAAUCUCCUAACCGGCGGCGGCGCCGCCGGAAGGCUCCGCCGGCAGCGGCGGCCGGUGGCCAAUUCCGGCGACCUCCAAAACCUAUGAAAUUUUGACAGAAUAAUCCUCUCAUCAAGCUCUACAACUUUCAUAACUAGGACAAACACCAAUUCCAAGCCUAACUAGGGAAAUCGACUAAAAACAUCAAAAACGCCAUAAAACUUCCACCUCAAAUUUCUCCUUACCUAGCUCAAGAGGGAGUGAGUCCUUUUAGGGCAAGACUGUUGGGUUGGAGGGCUACAAAACCAUACCAAGCUUACCUGGAUUGGUGGCCGGAGGAGGGAGUUCCGGCGACGUAAACCCUAACACAGUCGGACCUCUCGGGCCCGAUAUCACCCUCACGGCGGCGCUAGGGAAGCUGUCAUCGGUCCAAGAAGGUUGCUGGGUUGAAGACCGAUCGAUUGGGACCGGUGCGGCGGUCUGGGGUGGCCGGACGGCGGCGGUCUGGCGGUCGGAAAACCGGACAGCGGGAGGGGCUCGGGAGAGAGAGAACCGGGAGGAGAAAAGAGAGGAAAAAGAGAAAAGAAAAGAUGGGCCUCUACACCCGGUCCAACAACCUUAUAUACCAAAACCCACUCUAAAAUUUACACCCCAAAAUAAUACCCUAAUAAAAAUUACCUUUUACUAGCUAAAAUUUACCAUUUUUACCGUCGACAUAAUUUCCUCCCACGAAUAAUCCUCCGCACAAUAAUCAUCCCCGAAACCCCUCUAGGGACCAAUUAAACUAUUAACUCAAUGAUCAAGACGGUAAAAUUCUUAUUAUAAUCACGCUAGUAAAUAAGGUAAAAAUAUAAGGGUCGGGAUGUGACAAUUCUCUCCUCCUUAUAAAAAUUUCGUCCUCGAAAUUAACAUACCUGUCAUCCGAAGAGUUAGGGAUACUGCUGCAUCAUUUGCUCCUCUGAUUCCCAAGUAGCUUCUUCUACUUGAUGACUCAUCCAAAGUACCUUGACAAGCAGGAUUGUCUUGUUCCUAAGCACUUGCUCCUUUCGGUCGAGAAUCUGAACCGGUUCCUCUUCAUAGGUCAAAUCUCUCGUCAAACUGAUCGGCUGCUCUUGCAGCACAUGAGAAGGAUCGGCAAUAUACUUGCGAAGCAUGGAUACAUGAAACACAUUAUGUAUCCUAGCUAACUCUGGAGGCAAGGCUAAUCGACAAGCAAGUGAGCCAACUCGCUCUAUUAUCUCAUAAGGGCCAAUAUACCUCGGGCUAAGCUUCCCACGCUUCCCGAAGCGCACAACCCCUUUCCAAGGAGAUAAUUUCAGGAACACCCAAUCCCCCACUUGAAAUUCAAGAUCUCUCCUACGGACAUCCGCAUAACUCUUCUGCCUACUGAUGAUACCCCGAUCUCAAAUCAAUCUUGGAGAAAACAGAGGCACCCCUCAACUGAUCAAAUAAAUCAUCGAUCCGAGGCAACGGAUAUUUAUUCUUCACUGUGACCUGAUUCAACUUCCUAUAAUCAAUGCAUAGUCUCAUGGUGCCAUCUUUCUUCUUAACAAACAACACUGGAGCACCCCAUGGAGACAUGCUAGGCCGAAUAAAACCCUUAUCUACCAAUUCCUGCAAUUGAAUCUUCAACUCUUUCAAUUCCGCUGGAGCCAUUCUGUAAGGCGCCUGAGAGAUAGGCAUAGUUCCAGGAAGUAAUUCUAUAGAGAAGUCUAUCUCCCUUUCAGGAGGCAAACCAGGCAACUCCUCAGGAAAAACAUCCGGAAACUCUCUUACUACAGGAAUAUCUUCUAAUCCCACAACUCCCAUACUUGUAUCCACCACAUGAGCUAAAAAUGCUUGACAGCCUUUACUCAACAAUUUCCUUGCAGCAACAGCGGAAAUUAUGCNNNNNNNNNNNNNNNNNNNNUAGAGACACAUGCCACUCGCCUGGAAGAGACGAUGAUGGCACAUUUGCAUGGAGGGCGAAUCGACUAGACAUGAAUGAAUGCGUGGCUCCGGGAUCAAUUAAAGUAAAAGCAGGCUGACCAAAAAUUAAUAACGUACCAAUGAUGACAUCUGGAGAAGUACGACCCUCCUGCUGGGUCAUAGCAUGCAGUCUAGUGCGAGUCAUGGGACGUCCACGCUGACCACUUCCCCGCUGAGAGCCACCUCUGACCGAAGCACUGCCCUGGGCACCACUACUAGAGCCUCCAGCUGAGGACUGACCAACAGGCUAAGUAGGGGUGGGAGUGGUCCUCUGAGCCAACAAUGGGCAAUCUCUCCUGAAGUGGUCCUGACCACCACACUCAAAGCACCCAGAAAACUGCUACUGCUGCCCAUAUGAAAAAGUCUGGCUACCGGAUGACCCACCAUGGAAACUGCCACCCGAACCAUACUGCCCAGACUGCUGCCUACCCAACUGGCUCCUAGCAGGUCUCCUGUGACGUCCUCUAACCCUGAACCGAGAAUUAGAACCUGAUCCCCCACUACUGCCACUACCAGCUGAUGAACCUGAAGCGGAUGAUGAAGCAGCUUUCUUGGAUGGACCCUGACUGGGACCACCGAAAUCUCGUGGCCGAGCACUAUAAAUCCCCAUAGACUCAAUGACCAUGGCUGCAUGAACAGCGUCAGAGAAAGUCGGGUAGUAAACACCCGUUAUCUUAUCUGCAAACACUCCACCAAGUGCCCCAAUGAACAUCUCCAUCCUGAUCCUCUCAUCAGGAACCAAAUAUGACACAUGAUAGCACAGGGAAGUGAAUCUCUCCUCGAACUCUAUAACACCCUCAUCAUCCCUCUUCUUCAUAUUCAGGAAAUCCGACUGAAUUCUGCUGCGGUGGGCAGGACUGAAAUAUUGCCCCAAGAAAAGCGUCUUAAACUGCUCCCACGACAUAUUCAGCGCAUCCUCAACAUUCCUGCUAGCGAGCGACCACUAGUGAUGUGCUGAAUCAUCUAGGAAAGUUACUGCCAUCUUCACCUUCCUUUCUUCUGGCAAAUCUGUGCUCGCAAAAGCCUUUUCCAUUUUGUCCACCCAAGUAUAAGCAUCAAGGGGUCCCUUGGCACCCUUGAACUCUCUUGCUCCAGCCCCAUAAACUUCUCUCCUCUUCACUGUAUGAGGUUGUGGAGCUCGAUCCAUGACAUCCCUUAGCAUAUUCCCAAUAUCAUCAACCAGUCCCCUGACCUCAUUGCCCUCAUCGGCAUUGGUCGAAGUAGCCACACGGGUACCUGAGGAAGAAGAAAUUUAGUAGUCCAUAAACAAGACUAACACAACAAUCACAUAUACCCAAUAACACAUAGCAUCAAAAGCAUAAAAUGCCAAUGAAUCCGCCGCGGUCGGAUCAUCACUCUAUAGACACUACGUGCUACUUAGGCAAAUAUGAUAGUGACAGAGAAGCAGGAAAAAGAAACCUAUAGCUCUGAUACCAACUGACACGACCCACCCCGAAUUUCACCCUGAAACCCGGAGUAAGUCGUGCGGGGACCACCUCCAAGGAAAAUUUACUGAAAAGAUUAAGAAAAUCUCCCUUGCAGAUGGACAACCCUAACUCGAAAAUUCCAAGUUACUCUCUUAAUUCAACACGUCCAAACAUCACAUAAUUAUCCUCCAGAAAUUUUACACAUAAUAUACAAUAAUCCCAAAGUAUUCAGAGCUACUAAACACAAGCGGAAGCAAGAAAACACGAGUAGGUUAAACAUGUAACCUACUGAUGAAAACUGGCGGAAAUGCGGGUGACUAUGCCUCGUCUCCUACUAGAUCCAACCCNNNN
rnacentral:lncRNA from 1 species